rnacentral:tRNA from 1 species
AUCUAAAUAGUUUAAUUAAAAUAUUAAUUUGUGAUAUUAAAGAUGUUUAUAUACUUUAGAUA